GUCAUCGUGGCGCAGAGGUUUGCAUAUCCGCCUGUGAUGCCGAACGCCUGGGUUCAAAUCCCGGCGUGAACA
rnacentral:tRNA from 1 species